rnacentral:rRNA from 1 species
AGUCACUUGAAUUUGGGUUUUUACUUAGAUUUGGGUGGCGGACGGGUGAGUAACGCGUAAAGAACUUGCCUCACAGCUAGGGACAACAUUUAGAAAUGAAUGCUAAUACCUGAUAUUAUGAUUUUAAGGCAUCUUAGAAUUAUGAAAGCUAUAUGCACUGUGAGAGAGCUUUGCGUCCCAUUAGCUAGUUGGAGAGGUAACAGCUCACCAAGGCGAUGAUGGGUAGCCGGCCUGAGAGGGUGAACGGCCACAAGGGGACUGAGACACGGCCCUUACUCCUACGGGAGGCAGCAGUGGGGAAUAUUGGACAAUGGACCGAGAGUCUGAUCCAGCAAUUCUGUGUGCACGAUGAAGUUUUUCGGAAUGUAAAGUGCUUUCAGUUGGGAAGAAAUAAAUGACGGUACCAACAGAAGAAGUGACGGCUAAAUACGUGCCAGCAGCCGCGGUAAUACGUAUGUCACGAGCGUUAUCCGGAUUUAUUGGGCGUAAAGCGCGUCUAGGUGGUUAUGUAAGUCUGAUGUGAAAAUGCAGGGCUCAACUCUGUAUUGCGUUGGAAACUGUAUAACUAGAGUACUGGAGAGGUAAGCGGAACUACAAGUGUAGAGGUGAAAUUCGUAGAUAUUUGUAGGAAUGCCGAUGGGGAAGCCAGCUUACUGGACAGAUACUGACGCUAAAGCGCGAAAGCGUGGGUAGCAAACAGGAUUAGAUACCCUGGUAGUCCACGCUGUAAACGAUGAUUACUAGGUGUUGGGGGUCGAACCUCAGCGCCCAAGCAAACGCGAUAAGUAAUCCGCCUGGGGAGUACGUACGCAAGUAUG